rnacentral:rRNA from 1 species
AAGGAAUCUUCCACAAUGGGGGCAACCCUGAUGGAGCAACGCCGCGUGCAGGAUGAAGGCCCUCGGGUCGUAAACUGCUUUUAUGAGUGAAGAAUAUGACGGUAACUCAUGAAUAAGCACCGGCUAACUACGUGCCAGCAGCCGCGGUCAUACGUAGGGUGCAAGCAUUAUCCGGAGUGACUGGGCGUAAAGAGUUGCGUAGGCGGUUAGUAAAGCGAAUAGUGAAACCUGGUGGCUCAACCAUACAGACUAUUAUUCGAACUCACUAACUCGAGAGUGGUAGAGGUAACUGGAAUUUCUUGUGUAGGAGUGAAAUCCGUAGAUAUAAGAAGGAACACCAAUGGCGUAGGCAGGUUACUGGACCAUUUCUGACGCUAAGGCACGAAAGCGUGGGGAGCGAACGGG